rnacentral:ncRNA from 2 species
AAAAUAGUUUAGCAUCUCCCUCGUAUAAUAAUGGGAAUACGGCCCAUGAGUUUCUACCCAAUUACCGUAAAUUAUUGGACUAUGAGGGAAAGUGGUAACCGU